UACGUAGGGGGCUAGCGUUGUCCGGAUUUAUUGGGCGUAAAGAGCGUGUAGGCGGCCAGGUAGGUCUGGUGUGAAAACUCGAGGCUUAACCUCGAGAUGUCAUCGGAAACCAUCUGGCUAGAGUCCGGAAGAGGAGAGUGGAAUUCCUGGUGUAGCGGUGAAAUGCGCAGAUAUCAGGAAGAACACCAGUGGCGAAGGCGGCUCACUGGCCCGGUACUGACGCUGAGGUGCGAAAGCAUGGGGAGCGAACAGG
rnacentral:rRNA from 1 species